GGUGGAGAGGUACAGGCAGAGUGUGGGGCAGGCACAGGUGGAGAGGUACAGGCGGAGUGUGGGGCCGGCACAGGUGGAGAGGUACAGGCAGAGUGUGGGGCAGGCACAGGUGGAGAGGUACAGGCAGAGUGUGGGGCAGGCACAGGUGGAGAGGUACAGGCGGAGUGUGGGGCAGGCACAGGUGGAGAGGUACAGGCAGAGUGUGGGGCAGGCACAGGUGGAGAGGUACAGGCGGAGUGUGGGGCAGGCACAGGUGGAGAGGUACAGGCAGAGUGUGGGGCAGGCACAGGUGGAGAGGUACAGGCAGAGUGUGGGGCAGGCACAGGUGGAGAGGUACAGGCGGAGUGUGGGGCAGGCACAGGUGGAGAGGUACAG